rnacentral:tRNA from 1 species
CAAGGAAUAGUUUAUUAAAAAUUUUAAUUUUGGAGAUUAAAGAUAAGAGUUCUCUUUUCCUUGA